rnacentral:rRNA from 1 species
AUACGUAGGGCGCGAGCGUUGUCCGGAAUUACUGGGCGUAAAGGGCGCGUAGGCGGCGCUUCAAGUCGUCUGUCAAAUGGGAGGGCUUAACCCUUUUUCGCAGACGAAACUGGAGAGCUUGAGAAGCAGAGAGGCAAACAGAAUUCCUGGUGUAGCGGUGAAAUGCGUAGAUAUCAGGAAGAAUACCAGUGGCGAAGGCGGUUUGCUGGCUGCAUACUGACGCUGAAGGGCGAAAGCCAGGGGAGCAAACGGGAGUAGAUACCCCGGUAGUCCUGGCAGUAAACGAUGUAUGCUGGGUGUGAGACUAGCGAUAGUUUCUUGCCGAAGUUAACGCGAUAAGCAUACCGCCUGGGGAGUACGGGCGCAAGAUUGAAACUCAAAUGAAUUGGCGGGG